CCUACGGGUGGCAGCAGUGAGGAAUAUUGGUCAAUGGGCGCUAGCCUGAACGAGCCACGUAGCGUGAAGGAUGAAUGCCCUAUGGGUUGUAAACUUCUUUUAUAUGGGAAUAAAGUGCAGUAUGUAUACUGCUUGGCAAGUACCUGAUUAAUAAGGAGCGGCAAACUCCGUGCAAGCAGCCGCGGUAAUACGGGGGGUACGAGCGUUGUCCGGAUUUAUUGGGUUUAAAGGGCGCGUAGGCGGUUUGUUAAGUCAGGUGUGAAACUUGGCGGCUCAACCGUAAAAUUGCAUUUGAUACUGGCAUCCUUGAGUACAGUAGAGGUAGGCGGAAUUCGUGGUGUAGCAGUGAAAUGCGUAGAUAUCACGAAGAACUCCGAUUGCGAAGGCAGCUUACUAGACUGCCACUGACACUGAUGCUCGAAAGUGUGGGUAUCAAACAGGAUUAGAUACCCGGGUAGUC
rnacentral:rRNA from 1 species